rnacentral:misc_RNA from 1 species
UACGAAGGGAGCUAGCGUUGUUCGGAAUCACUGGGCUUAAAGGGCGCGUAGGCGGCUUGCCAAGUCAGGGGUGAAAUCUUUCGGCUCAACCGGAAAAGUGCCUUUGAUACUGACAGGCUGGAGGGAGGUAGGGGCAUGUGGAACUUCCGGUGGAGCGGUGAAAUGCGUUGAUAUCGGAAGGAACGCCGGUGGCGAAAGCGACGUGCUGGACCUUUUCUGACGCUGAGGCGCGAAAGCUAGGGGAGCAAACGGG